GAACAGGAUGAUGUGGACCUUGGGAGCAAAGAGGCAGCCCAGCACGACCGACCCACUCAGACUGACAGAGAUACACAUGGUGGUGGUUUGUACCUGGAGGAUGAAAAAGAGUCAUGAUGAAGUUACAGAUAUAACACAACAGAGGUCCCCAGCUAGAAUCAAACAGGGCUGAUCCAGCUCAGAAACAAGGAUUUAAAACAACCAAGCAGUGUUAAAUUAACUUCACUCAUAUGGAAUCAUAUAAACACCAGCAAAGUGUUGAGGACCAUUUUGCCGUUCAAUCUCU